UACGUAGGGUGCGAGCGUUGUCCGGAAUUAUUGGGCGUAAAGGGCUCGUAGGCGGUUUGUCGCGUCGGGAGUGAAAACCUCGGGCUUAACUCGGGGCUUGCUUUCGAUACGGGCAGACUAGAGGUAUGCAGGGGAGAACGGAAUUCCUGGUGUAGCGGUGAAAUGCGCAGAUAUCAGGAGGAACACCGGUGGCGAAGGCGAUCACCUGGGGUUGUUCUGACGCUGAGGAGCGAAAGCUAGGGGAGCAAACGGG
rnacentral:rRNA from 1 species